rnacentral:rRNA from 1 species
GAUGAACGCUAGCGAUAGGCCUAACACAUGCAAGUCGAGGGGCAGCACGAGUAGCAAUACUUGGUGGCGACCGGCGCAAGGGUGCGUAACGCGUGAGCAACAUGCCCGUAUCAGGGGGAUAAUCCAGGGAAACUUGGUCUAAUACCCCAUAGUAAUCAUAUCAGGCAUCUGGUAUGAUUUAAAGCUUAGGUGGAUACGGAUUGGCUCGCGUGACAUUAGCUAGAUGGUAAGGUAACGGCUUACCAUGGCUAUGAUGUCUAGGGGUUCUGAGAGGAAGGUCCCCCACACUGGAACUGAGACACGGUCCAGACUCCUACGGGAGGCAGCAGUGAGGAAUAUUGGACAAUGGAUGGAAAUCUGAUCCAGCCAUGCCGCGUGAAGGACGACGGUCCUAUGGAUUGUAAACUUCUUUUGUAUGGGAGCAAUAAGGUCUACGUGUAGAUCGAUGAGAGUACCAUACGAAUAAGCAUC